GAUGAAUGCUGGCGGCGUGCUUAACACAUGCAAGUCGAACGAGAAGUGAGGACGGAAACCUUCGGGCGGAAGACUUUAUUUCGAGUGGCGGACGGGUGAGUAACGCGUGGGUAACCUGCCUCAUACAGGGGGAUAACAGUUGGAAACGACUGUUAAUACCGCAUAAGACCACAGCACCGCAUGGUGCAGGGGUAAAAACUCCGGUGGUAUGAGAUGGACCCGCGUUCGAUUAGCCAGUUGGCGGGGUAACGGCCCACCAAAGCGACGAUCGAUAGCUGAUCUGAGAGGAUGACCGGCCACAUUGGGACUGAGACACGGCCCAAACUCCUACGGGAGGCAGCAGUGGGGAAUAUUGCACAAUGGGGGAAACCCUGAUGCAGCGACGCCGCGUGAGUGAAGAAGUAUUUCGGUAUGUAGAGCUCUAUCAGCAGGGAAGAAAAUGACGGUACCUGAGUAAGAAGCCCCGGCUAACUACGUGCCAGCAGCCGCGGUAAUACGUAGGGGGCAAGCGUUAUCCGGAUUUACUGGGUGUAAAGGGAGCGCAGACGGCUCUGCAAGUCUGAAGUGAAAGCCCGCGGCUUAACCGCGGGACUGCUUUGGAAACUGUAAGGCUUGAGUAUCGGAGGGGCAGGCGGAAUUCCUAGUGUAGCGGUGAAAUGCGUAGAUAUUAGGAAGAACACCGGUGGCGAAGGCGGCCUGCUGGACGAAAACUGACGUUGAGGCUCGAAGGCGUGGGGAGCAAACAGG
rnacentral:rRNA from 1 species